rnacentral:lncRNA from 15 species
AUGUCCGUCCUCACCGCAGCUGAGGGGGGCGGACUUGUCGACAUGGCAUGGUACCGCGAAGCCGGGAAGGCCCCUCCAAGGGUCCUGUACGUGGACCGGGACUGCUGUGCCACCGUGGGACAGUGUCAAACGUCCAAGCUGUUCCACGAGUGGCACGAGCUGGUCGUCAGGCUCGACGUGUGGCACCUCAUGCGGCGUUUCGCCAGAGGGGUGACCACCGACAGCCACCAGCUCUACGGCCUCUUCAUGGCGACUGGCUCUGCUUCGCCAUUUUUGAGUGGGCACCCAACGGGCAGGGUGUCCCGCCUGAGAGGAGCCAAGCAGUCCGAGGAGGGGAGGGACGCCCAGGAGGUCAAGCUGUCCGCCAAGGAGCUCGCCCGUCACUGCCGGCGCCGCACCAGGGGUGCAGUGGAGACGGAGCGGCUGGUCCAAGAGGUGCUGGACACCUUCUGGCACGUGACGGACAGCAUGGGCGUCCCUUUGAUCGACCGCGCCCGAAUGGAGGAGAUCUGGAGCACGCAGCGCCGACACCUCGACUGCAUCCAGGACCCUGCGGGAGUGGACCUCUACACCAAGACGGGAGAGCUCACCAAAGGCGGGGUGAGGCUCCCCGUCUACCGGUGCGGCCGAGGCUCCACUUCCCUGGAAUCGUUCCACCUGCACCUGUGCCGCUUCAUCCCAGGUAAGUACAUGUGUGGUUUACAACACAGACUCAAUUAUGUAUUUGUGUGUUUAUUUGUCCUCACACUAACUGUGUUGCUUUGUUUCUGCUUAGGACAAUCUGCAAGUGAUGUACACUUCCAGGUGUACCUGCUGGAGGGCCUGGUGCGGUGGAACGAGAAUCGAGGGAGGACAGAGGUCGGCGCUGCGUUGCUACAGUGCCCAGCUGCGGCACAGCUUCGACCAGCUGACCCAAGAGCUUCUUGGGCUCACGCUGAUGAUGAUGAAGAGUUCGAGGAGGAGGAACCAGAGGAGAUUCGUCUCCUCGAACACCACAGCGCUCUCCUUCAGUCCUCAAACCUCACCCGCGUGGACCAAAUGGAGGUGCAGCAGGCUGAGGAGGAGGAGGAGGAGGAGGAGGAGGAGGAGGAUGUUAUCGGGCCAGGUGGAGGCAGCUACCAGCACGUCGUGGCCCUGGCCCAGGCCCUCGUGGAACUGCGCCACCGCCGCUACGUCACUCCCAGGCAAGCCAGAGAGAUCACCGCUCUCUGGCUGAAGUUGAGUGAUUGGGACAAGGCAGCGGUCAAAUUCCCCCCCCCCCGUCACCAGGGCCGGCUUGUCCAAGGCCGAUUCCGGACCACCCAGCGGCACGCUCACAUGCCAGGGGUGUGGAUAGUGUGA